AAACAAAUCUAUUUGUUUAAGAAAAACUGCAAUAAAUGCACAUGUCUAUAUUGCAUAUUGUCAGUUAGCCGAUAUACUAAAUAACAAUUAAAUGACUGCUCUGAGCACUUUAAGUGCUCUCUCUCCCUCCAAACUCUCAGAGAAUGAGUCAGAGCACUGGCAACACCCAUUCAAUGAUUGGCGGACUGCAAGAGCGUUUAAUAUGGUUUGCAG